AGUCCAGUCAUGUUUGACUCUGGGGGUUGGUGCUCAUCUCCAUUUCUAAGCCGAAGAGCCGGCGUUGUCCGUAGACACCUCCAAGGUCAUGUGGCCGGCAUGACUGCAUGGAGCACCGUUACCUUCCUGCUGGAGCGGUACCUAUUGAUCUACUCACAUUGGCAUGUUUUCGAACUGCUAGGUUGGCAGGAACUGGAGCUAACAGCGGCCGCUCCCGCCGCUCCCAGGGAUUGAACCUGGGACCUUUCGGUCUCCAGCUCAGUGCUUUAACGCACUUCACCACCGGGGCUCCUAGCAUAAUUCACUAUAAUUACCAGGGCCUCUUCCAAGCUUAAUAACAGCAGUGGGCGUGAGUAAAACAAACAAGUGGAAUGUUAUUAUGACACAUGUAAUAAAUAAUUAAAUUGAAUGUACAAUUGCAGCUCCCUAAACUAGUCAGCUCUUUCCCUUGAUGACUAUGCUGCCUCUAUCCCAGCACUUCACUGUCAGCAUGAUGCCCAACCCCCACCUGUAUCUCACAGAGACAGGCCUAUGGUUUUAUUACAUUGCUUUCCCCUGCAGUUCCUCUUCACAGUAUUCCCUGAGACAUGUUUGGCUUCCUUGAGCCAGGUUUGCUAGCAAGUAUUUUCACAGCAUGGACAUUGGAGAAGCUUGUGUCCAGUCUUUAAUCAGCUGCUGUUUUGUAGAGUUAUUUGUAGCAGAGCUUAAGAUAUUGAAGUACUUGUAGACAUCAAGAAAGGGCAAUUCCUCCAGUUGCCACAUGGGGGAAUGAGUGAUAACCAGGUCUGCAGGUACUACACACCACAUUUGCACACUGAUGCACUUGGACACAUGUUGUACCUUUUCUUCUUUGUUUACCAAUAUGUUCUUUUGUUUGCUCACGCACAAACUGUAUGCACACCCAAAUCCCACCCCGAUAUCUUCCCAUUCAGAAAAGAGAAGGUUCUAAGGUCCUUUCCCACAAUGCUUCUUUGAGAAGUCCAGCAUAAUUUAGAGCUGAUUUUUUCUUCUUCUUCAUUAAGAUCUGAUCAUUGUUUCUAAUCUGGCUGUUGUUUUUGUUUCCUCCACCAGUAUUAGAUUUCUGUCUCCUGUGUUACAAGUCAUUUUAAUCUUGAUUACUCUGGAACUAAUCAGUAUCUAUACAGUUUGUGAAAAAAAUGUUUCAGACUAUCAGCAAUACCUAAACCACAUGGUGAUGAUGAGGAUGAUGAUGAUGAUGAUGAUGAUGCAUGAACUGAAGAGAGUCGUAGUGCAGCACAAGCAUCGUCCUGUUCAUGCCCCAACUAGGAGAAUACUGUGGAGCUGAUGUUUCUGUCUUUUGCAGCACUCCUACUUAUCCCUCCUCCUCCACUUUAGUUGUCGUUUAAGACUUCAAAAAGGAUCCAGGGCAUGUUGAGAAAGUUCAUUAUGUACUAUAUUUGUUGGAUGGGGCUUUUUAAAAUAACAACAACGCUUUGAAGUAGAUUGCAAGAUAAAACCUUUUCUCUCAGUGUUCUGAUCCUAAUAAAAAUUAAUCCUAGCCAAAU